GCAACCCCAGGUCAGGC
rnacentral:rRNA from 1 species